rnacentral:lncRNA from 1 species
GAAGACCAAGAUCGGCCAGGCUACGGUGGUGAUGCACCCUAUGACUCCACCACCGGUGGUGGCUAUAACCAGUAUUCUAGUGAUACCACUGACACUGGAUACAACAAGUACUCUGGUGACACCACCACUGGUGGUGGCUACAACGAGUACUCCUCCGGCGGUGAUACCGGAUAUGGAAACAAGUACUCUGGUGAUAAGACCACCACGGGUACCGCCUAUGGUGGUGGUGGUGGCUAUGGUAGUGGCUAUGGUGGUGCUGAAACUGUGGGUGAUGACUCUGAAAAGCCUGAUUAUGAGAAAGAAAAGAAGCACCACAAAAAUCUUGAGCACCUUGGUGAAGCUGGUGCUCUUGCUGCUGGUGCCUAUGCCUUGGUAAGUUUCUUUGCUUUUUAGUUUGUCCAACAUUCAAUUUUCUUAUAAUGACUGUUCAUGUUAUAUAAUUUUUUGGGGUCAUUUCUAGGGGGUUUUAUACGUAUCUUUUAAUUUAUUUUACCUUUCUUUAGCAUACUUGAAAAAGGGUAGUCAAAUUAUGGAGGGUUUUAUUCUUACAAAGUGAUAGUUUUAUGCCUAGAUAUCGUUGAUUUUUGUUUCUUUUUUCUCGUUUGAUUAAUUUCUUGUUUCUUUUUUUUUUUCAAUGUCAAUUAUGUACCAGUAUGAGAAGCAUGAGGCAAAGAAGGACCCCGAGCAUGCUCACAGGCACAAGAUAGGAGAAGAGAUUGGAGCGGUAGCCGCACUUGGAGCUGGUGGAUUUGCAUUCCAU